CCCGUCUUUCCCUCUAGUGUCCUCAGCUGCUGCCACUUCUCCAUUUCUCCUGGGCAUGGCUUGGUUUCUUCUCUGCUCCUCACACUGCCAGAGGUCCUUUGAGGAUCAAGCUCACACUCAUCAGACUUGGCAGCAGGCACCUUUACAUGCUGAGCCACAACAUUACCUAGCUCACUGAUUUUCUUCCUUUAAAAAGUCGUAUUUCAUUUAUCCUGUGUUCGUGGAGAAUAUGAGGAUAUUGCGGUGUGGGGGGGUGCAUGCCAUGAUGCACUCAAGUGGAGGUCAGAAGACAACCUGCAGGAGUCAGUCCUCCCUUCUACCUCGUGGGUCUCAGGGACUGAUCUUGGAUCUUAAAACUUGACAGCAGACACCUUUACCUGGUCACCCACCUCACAGCCUCUUUCUCAUUUCCUUCUUAAGAAAACUAUAUUUUCAUUGGAAUAUGAAAUGUUUGUCUUCAGGAGUCACUUUCUGUUCAUUUCCAGGCUACUGUUCAUUCAAUUUUAUUGUUUUCUUUGUUGGAAAUAAUAGGAAAUAUGUUUGAUAUUUUUUCUUUGCAUUAUCAAAGUAGAUUUCGUUCUUUAUCUUCUUGUUUAUAGGCUUUUCUCACUAUUCUAAGAGACUAUAACCUAUCUGGGUUGACAUUUUGCAUUUUUGCACUUGUAUUUUGACCAAAAAAUUGCCAAGUUUUUAUAAAUAAAUAAUGAAAUUAAGAGAA